AGCUUUUUGUAGUUUAUAGAAGGUCUUUUCUGCCCAGUGAUUAAUUUAACGGCCGCAGUAAUUUGACUGUGCUAAGGUAGCAUAAUAAAUUGACUUUUAAUUGGAGUCUGGAAUGAAUGGAAAAAUGGAUAAAUGCUGUUUCUUAUCUCUUUAAUUGAAUUUGCUUUAAUGGUGAAAAUACCAUUAUUUUGAAAAAAGACGAGAAGACCCUUAGAAUUUUUACUAAAAAAUUAAUUUAGUUUUUGUUGGGGCGACAGAAGAAAACAUUUUGAACUUUUUUUUUUAUUACGAAACAAUUAUAUUUUUUAAGAUUAAAUUACCUUAGGGAUAACAGCAUAAUUUAAAUUUAAGAUUAUGACCUCGAUGUUGGACUAGGAAAGAAAUUGGUUAAAAGCUUUUUUUAAUUUGUUCUGUUCGAACAAAUAUUCCU
rnacentral:rRNA from 1 species